ACCCGCUGAAUUUAAGCAUAUAAGUAAGUGGUGGAAAUUAAACCAAAUGGGAUAUCUUUAGUAAUUACGAAUGAACAAGGAUAUGCUUAGCUUGACAAAUGGAGCUAUUGGCUUUGAAUUGUAUUGUGGAAAUGUAUUACCAACAGAGGUGCAGGUGCCAGCAUAUUGAAAUAGAGCGUCAAUGAGGGUGAGAAUCCUGUUUGCCAUGUGCAGCCCUUUGUGCACGGUGUAUAUUUGCUGAGUCACACUCCUUGGCAUUGGAAUGCAAAGUGGGUGGUAAGUUUCAUGUAAAGGUAAACAUGCAACUGAGACUGAUAGCACACAAGUGCCAUGAGGGAAAUAUGAAAAGGACUUUGAAAAGAGAAUUAAAUGAGUUUGUAUUUGCUGAACACAAAGUAAACAGACUUGAUUUGCUUGGUGGGAGUGUUGCACUUGCUUGACAAGAGCUUUGGGCUGUGGGUGUAAUGAUUCUUUCUUUGCAUGCCAGUUUCUAUGUGUACAUCUGAUUACCUUUGCACAUGAAUGAUAAGUCUCCUGUGGGGGGUGGAUUGCAUGUGCAUGUAAUGAUUUGUGUUUUGAUAAAUGUGUCUGGUGUAUGUGUGUGUGUUCCUGUGCUUGGGGAUGCUUCCUUCCUUGGACUUACAAGCCCUGACACACACAUGCUGGCAAAAUGCUUCUGCUUGACCCGUCUUGAAACACGGACCAAGG
rnacentral:rRNA from 1 species